UACGGAGGGAGCUAGCGUUGUUCGGAAUUACUGGGCGUAAAGCGCACGUAGGCGGCUUUGUAAGUUAGAGGUGAAAGCCCUGGGGCUCAACCCCGGAAUUGCCUUUAAGACUGCAUCGCUUGAAUCCGGGAGAGGUGAGUGGAAUUCCGAGUGUAGAGGUGAAAUUCGUAGAUAUUCGGAAGAACACCAGUGGCGAAGGCGGCUCACUGGACCGGUAUUGACGCUGAGGUGCGAAAGCGUGGGGAGCAAACAGG
rnacentral:rRNA from 1 species